UAUCCCCACCCAUUCACACUCCAUUCGAAACAAACUCUAAGAGGUGUUGUCGAAGUCGAACUCUUCGCCCUCAUCCCUGGAACUCUUCGCCCUGUAGCCCGCCGCCACUGCAGCCACGUAGCCCCCGCAUCAGCCCUCGCAGCUCCCCGCAACCCCCACAGCCUCGCAUCCCCACAGCGGCGCAGCCACCGCAGCCCCUACACAGACACAGCCUCCACCGCCACCGUAGAAGAUCCGUCGCCGUCGUAGGAAGCUGCGUCGCCGUGAUUGGAAGCUCCCUCGCCGUCGUUUGGAAGCUCGUUGGCCGUCUCCUCUGUUCGAGCGCUCUCCUUUUCUCUCUGUGUCGCCGUUGUGUUCGAGCGCUCUCCUUCGCUCUCCAACAACGCCCUUCCUCCUCGCAGCCGGCAAGAAACAGAUUCAUCUAAGCCUGUUACUAAAGCUGCCUAAUUCAAGAUGAUGCAUCUGGUGUCUUGUUAUAGUGUUUACCCUCUAGCUGAUCAUGCUUUGUGCAUGCUCAUCUAACCAUUUGUCUUCCAUGUGUUAAUCCAGGGAAGUUCCAAGAAUAUUCCAUCUGUUGAAAAUUUUGGUCCACAGUGGAAAACUUCAGUGGGUUUCUUAAGAACUUAAGAUUGUAUAAGUAUAUUCUGAAAUUCUAGUGCACUCUGCUGAUCUAUAAUCCGUAAAGGCCAACACAACAACAACAACAACAACAACUGUCUCUUUGCUCUUCUCCAAGUUAGGAACAAGUACAAAAGGUGCUGAAUUAAGGAGAGAAGAGAGAGAAUUUUGAAGAGAAACAGAGAUUAAAGUGGUAGAGGUUUAGUAAGAAGAAGGACCGGGAGAAGGACCGGGAGUUGGAGAAACUAAGUCUGGAAAAUGAAAGGAUGAAGCUUGAGAACGAACGAAUCGCUUUAGAACUGAAACAAAAGGAAAUCGGCGCUGGCUUUAACUAGGUCCACAGUCUUGCAGCUUUUAUGGAAAUUGCAUUUUCUGUUUAAUUGUCAAUUGUCAGUGAAGCAGGUUAAUCCUAGACAAUAUGUUGCUGAAAUUCCUCAGGUUUGUUGUUUUCUUUCUCCUAUCGUUUUUCCACUAUGGCAUUGUUUGAGCUUCAUAACUCUAUUUUACUCUAAGAAUAGGUUACUCAAGUUAUGACUAGUUUCUUACUAAACAUUGCUUAUGCCUUUGAUGGGGCUAUCUUCCAUGCUUCACUAUAUGUGUUUUGGUCUCAUUCUAAUUGAUUUAAAGCUAUUUGACUGUAAUAUAUAUGUAAUCUUCUUUUUCGGAGGAAUUAAUCAAGAAUGUAAUUAAUGCCUGUUUAUGAGGAUGUUGUAGCAUAUGCAGAUGGCUGGAAUUAAUUGCAAUGAGAACACCCGGUUUUAGUGAAUUCUGAUCAUGACCAGGGGUCAAAGUUCUGCAAGAAAGUAGAAAUGCAUCUUUCAGAACAACAUCUGAGAAUAGUUUGCUAAAACUGCUUCUAAGAUUUGUGUUCAUGUGUCACAGAAGAUGAAUUCACGAAGAAAAUUUCUUAGUUCUUACCCACAAAUGGCAUGCCCGACUUCAUGAUAUGCCACUAAACUUUUGCUAACAUUACCUCCUUGUUAUUCACAUAUAAUUUUAUAUAUUUGAUGCAGCUUAAUAUUGAUUAGUAAUUUAGAAUAGAAGCUUCUCUACUCAAUUAAGUUACUCAACUUCCCUUGAAAUUUGAUUAUGCAGGGUCCAUGCCUAAGCAAAGUGGGCACUACUGUUUCUUUUAUCUAGUGAUGGCACUACUGUUUCUUUUAUCUCUUUUCUGUUCUUAUCUUUUCGGUGGGUUUGGUAUGAAUGUGAAUAUGAUCUUUGCUUCUUCUUUUUUUCUCUCUUGGUUCUUCAGGAAUCCGACAAUAUCAGAGGGUGAAAACCAACGAGAGACCUUUUGCAGUUUGGUGCUGCCUUUGCCAUUGGAGUCGAUAUAGAUUCACAAGCAAUUGCAUCAGCAUCUGAAAAUGCUACUCUGAAUAACAUCAUACCAGACAAGCUGCAACUGCACUUGAUUGCAAGCCAAACUUCUUCAUCCUGCAGGGAUGACUGGCCAUCUAGAGUUGUCGAGGGAGAAAAUGCUUUCGAGUUAGAUAGAGUCACUCACAAGGAUAAAUAUGAUGUGGUCAUUGCAAACAUACUUUUAAAUCCUCUGUUAAAUCUUGCUGAUCAAAUUAUCUUUUCUGCAAAGCCUGGAGUAAUUAUUGGUCUCUCUGGAAUCUUAAGUGAACAUGUAGUUUAAAUGUUCAAUUAAUUCUCAUUAUCGAUUUUCUUUAUUCGGAAUGCAGCUAUCUCUUUGCUGCCAAAUGCGGAUUCUUGUUGGUGGAACUGCUUCGAAUCACAUUCUCCUCCUAAAUUCAUCUCCUUUGUUCCUUAUGCAGGUCCAGAACUUAUUACAAAAAUAUUCACUAUUCUUAGAAGGCAUAGAAGUGUCAAAAAUGGAUGACUGGGCCUGUGUGAGUGGCAGAAAAAAAAAGAAUAUAGAUAUCUGCUGAUUCAAUGCUGUAGAUGCUUGGUUUAGGGGUUUAACUUUUCUCAUCCAAUCAUUCUUUGCUAUUUUAAUGCCACCCAGAAUGUUUUACAAGAAGCAGCAUGUUGAUGAUAUACUAGGAAUUAUAGUUGAUGAUCAAUACAUUUUGUUUGUGUCUUGAAUUAUAUAUAUUGACUUGCUUGUUUAUAAUA